CAGAGGGUGCAAGCGUUGCUCGGAAUCAUUGGGCGUAAAGGGCAAGUAGGUGGUCUCGUUUGUCUGAGGUGAAAUCCCUGGGCUUAACCUAGGAACUGCCUCAGAAACGGCGAGACUAGAGUCCUGGAGAGGGUCGCGGAAUUCCCGGUGUAGCGGUGAAAUGCGUAGAGAUCGGGAGGAAUACCAGAGGCGAAAGCGGCGGCCUGGACAGGAACUGACACUCAACUGCGAAAGCGUGGGGAGCAAACAGGAUUAGAUACCCUGGUAGUCCACGCUGUAAACGAUGGGUACUAGGUCAGGUGGGUAUUGACCCCUGCCGGACCGGAGCUAACGCGAUAAGUACCCCGCCUGGGAAGUACGGUCGCAAGACUA
rnacentral:rRNA from 1 species